rnacentral:rRNA from 1 species
AAUAGAUACCCCGGUAGUCCACGCAGUAAACGAUGAUUACUCGCUGUUUGCGAUACACAGUAAGCGGCUUAGCGAAAGCGUUAAGUAAUCCACCUGGGGAGUACGUUCGCAAGAAUGAAACUCAAAGGAAUUGACGGGGGCCCGCACAAGCGGAGGAACAUGUGGUUUAAUUCGAUGAUACGCGAGGAACCUUACCCGGGCUUGAAAUGCAUCUGACAGGAGCAGAGACGCUCUCUCCCUUCGGGGCAGAUGUGUAGGUGCUGCAUGGUUGUCGUCAGCUCGUGCCGUGAGGUGUCGGCUUAAGUGCCAUAACGAGCGCAACCCUCAUCAUUAGUUACCAUCAGGUUAAGCUGGGGACUCUAAUGAGACUGCCAUCAUAAGAUGUGAGGAAGGUGGGGAUGACGUCAAAUCAGCACGGCCCUUACGUCCGGGGCGACACACGUGUUACAAUGGAUGGUACAAAGGGCAGCUACAUGGCGACAUGAUGCUAAUCUCCAAAACCAUUCUC